CUACGGGGUGCUGCAGUGAGGAAUAUUGGUCAAUGGGCGCGAGCCUGAACCAGCCAUCCCGCGUGCAGGAUGACGGCCCUAUGGGUUGUAAACUGCUUUUCUAUGCCAAGAAACCUGAUUACGUGUAAUCAGUUGCCGGUAGCAUAGGAAUAAGCAUCGGCUAACUCCGUGCCAGCAGCCGCGGUAAUACGGAGGAUGCAAGCGUUAUCCGGAUUCAUUGGGUUUAAAGGGUGCGCAGGUGGGCGUGUAAGUCAGUGGUGAAAUGCUGCCGCUUAACGGUAGAACUGCCAUUGAUACUGCGAGUCUUGAGUAUGGUUGAGGUAGGCGGAAUGUGUUGUGUAGCGGUGAGAUGCAUAGAUAUGACACAGAACGCCAAUUGCGAAGGCAGCUUACUAAGCCAUUACUGACGCUGAGGCACGAAAGCGUGGGGAGCGAACAGGAUUAGAUACCCUCGUAGUC
rnacentral:rRNA from 1 species